UUGUUGGUUUGCACAUGAAGGGGAACUUAAAUUGCUAUUGCACAGAAGCAGUGAAUAUCCUGGCACUGACCGGUUUAGUGUUGCUAUUCCUUUCUGUCUGUGAGCAGCAGUGAGUGUGAUGUGAGUCAGUGCGCGGUCCACCCGCACCAAGCUCGCUGCGACCUGAAUUUCCUGCACAAUGACCAACAGCUCCAAGUAACCAGUGAGACAGCGUCAUCCUCAGGAACAUGGGCUCAGGUCUCAGGCUCUGGCUCUUCCUCUUAGGGCCUGUUGUCCCUCUGAAAGUGAUUGAGUCUCCUCCAGUUCUCUCCCUCCUGAGAGGGCAGACAGCUCGGAUCAACUGCAGCCUGAUACCGGGAGAGGAGCGGGCAGAGCUGCGAAACCUGAAAUCUAUCUGACUGCGGAUCCCCAGAAUGAAGGUGUUGGGAUUCAGACACUGACUUGUUUGGCUGCGGGAUUUUUCCCGAGGGGUCUGACCAUUUCCUGGAUUGUUGAGGGGGAUGUCUCCUAUCAGGAGGAGCCGGGCUCGCUGACAGUAAACACGGACAGCAGUUACAACCUGAGCUCCCGGCUGCGGAUUGCAAGGCCCCAGCGGGAGCAGGGAGCCACCGUCUCCUGUCACAUUCAGCACAGGACCUUCACUGGGUCAGUGAGGACAAGGCUCAGAGACAGUCCAGGUUUUUCUAAGUAUUAUUACCUCGGCCUGCUGAGUCUUAUCCUUAUUGUACCGUUUUGUCUUUGGAUCACAAAGAGUCAAUGCUAUAAACAGAAGAAUG